UUCAUUACAUCAUGUUGAACUUGUCUGGCAUGUAUCCACCACUUAAAUAACUUCUAUAAGCAAUUUUUUUUAAUUAAUAAUGUCGGAAGUAUAUAUAUUAAAGAAGAGUAAGAUGACCACACAAUAAAAGUUUUGACUGGGGUGGAGAGGCUUAAGGAAAAAGAGAACAGAGUGAAAUGAGAGGAUGCAGAAAUAUAAUAGAAUACGGAUAAAAUAUUUACAACUUUGAUGCAAGUAGCUGCAAGAAUUCAAAUCAGUUGGGUUAACUACACAAAUCCCUCUCUUUCUUUCUAAUUUCUAUUUUGUCUUAAAAGAUAUUGUGAUAUCAAAUCUUUUAUCAUUUUGCCCCCAUGUCACUACUCAUUUAUUUCGUUCCUGCUACUUGAGUACCACUCUUCAACGCUAAUGUGUCCAUGGCCAAGCUUGUAAGGUGAAUACCCCCCUGGAUAUUAGAAAGAUGGUUACCCCCUGCCCUGGAUAUGAGAAAGUUGGUGUCAAAACAUAAGUGAGCAAAGUUUUCAACUGAUCAACAAAUUAAUCUAGAUUAAGCAAAGAAUUCUCCUAACAAUCGCCGACUCCCAAAAUUGGACCUUCAACCACCUUCAGAAUUAAACUUGACAACUCUAAACCAUUUUUAUAAUCUCCUGAGUUGACUAAUCAUACUAAUUGCAAAACAAACGUGUGUUCAACUAAACCAAAUUACUGUGGAUCAAAAAUCAUUUGAUCCAAACAAUCUGAGCUGCUAAAAUAAAACACAAGAUAGGACUUCCAGCUACCGUCAAAAUCAAACUUGACAGUUCUGCAACUUAAGAGUGUAAACAUAACAGAAACAAAAACAUACUCUAUCACAGAA